AUUGAACGCUGGCGGCAGGCCUAACACAUGCAAGUCGAACGAGUGGCGGACGGGUGAGUAAUGUCCGGGAACCUGCCUGAUGUAGGGGGAUAACUGCUGGAAACGGUAGCUAAUACCGCAUACCAUCAGAUGUGCCCAGAUGGGAUUAGCUAGUUGGUGGGGUAACGGCUCACCAAGGCGACGAUCCCUAGCUGGUCUGAGAGGAUGACCAGCCACACCAGAACGGAGACACGGUCCAGACCACUACGGGAGGCGGCAGAGGGGAAUAGUGCACAAUGGGCGCAAGGCUGAUGCAGCCAUGCCGAGUGUAUGAAGAAGGCCUUCGUGUUGUAAAGUAAUUUCAGCGGGGAGGCGUUACUCGCAGAAGAAGCACCGGCUAACUCCGUGCCAGCAGCCGCGGUAAUUC
rnacentral:rRNA from 1 species